rnacentral:rRNA from 1 species
AGCAGCCGCGGUAAUUCCAGCUCCAAUAGCGUAUAUUAAAGUUGUUGCAGUUAAAAAGCUCGUAGUUGAAUUUCGGGAUCAAUAUAUCGGUCGUGCCAUUGGUACGUACUGGUAUCAUUGGUUUCUCCUUCCUGACGAACCAUGAUGUCAUUAAUUUGGUGUUAUGGGAAGUUAGGACUGUUACUUUGAAAAAAUUAGAGUGUUUAAAGCAGGCUUUAGCUUGAAUACAUUAGCAUGGAAUAAUGAAAUAGGACGUUCGAACCUAUUUUGUUGGUUUCUAGGAUCAACGUAAUGAUUAAUAGGGAUAGUUGGGGGCAUUAGUAUUCAAUUGUCAGAGGUGAAAUUCUUGGAUUUAUUGAAGACUAACUACUGCGAAAGCAUUUGCCAAGGAUGUUUUCAUUAAUCAAGAACGAAAGUUAGGGGAUCGAAGACGAUCAGAUACCGUCGUAGUCUUAACCAUAAACUAUGCCGACUAGGGAUCGGAUGAUGUUAAUUUUUUCAAUGACUCAUUCGGCGCCUU